CCUUCGGGUGGAACUGGUGGAACGAGCGGCGGAUGGGUGAGUAACACGUAGGUAACCUGCCCUAAAGCGGGGGAUACCAUCUGGAAACAGGUGCUAAUACCGCAUAAACCCAGCAGUCACAUGAGUGCUGGUUGAAAGACGGCUUCGGCUGUCACUUUAGGAUGGACCUGCGGCGUAUUAGCUAGUUGGUGGAGUAACGGUUCACCAAGGCAAUGAUACGUAGCCGACCUGAGAGGGUAAUCGGCCACAUUGGGACUGAGACACGGCCCAAACUCCUACGGGAGGCAGCAGUAGGGAAUCUUCCACAAUGGACGCAAGUCUGAUGGAGCAACGCCGCGUGGAUGAAGAAGGUCUUCGGAUCGUAAAAUCCUGUUGUUGAAGAAGAACGGUUGUGAGAGUAACUGCUCAUAGCGUGACGGUAAUCAACCAGAAAGUCACGGCUAACUACGUGCCAGCAGCCGCGGUAAUACGUAGGUGGCAAGCGUUGUCCGGAUUUAUUGGGCGUAAAGGGAGCGCAGGCGGUYYUUUUAAGUCUGAAUGUGAAAGCCCUCAGCUUAACUGAGGAAGAGCAUCGGAAACUGAAARRACUUGAGUGCAGAAGAGGAGAGUGGAACUCCAUGUGUAGCGGUGAAAUGCGUAGAUAUAUGGAAGAACACCAGUGGCGAAGGCGGCUCUCUGGUCUGUUACUGACGCUGAGGCUCGAAAGCAUGGGUAGCGAACAGGAUUAGAUACCCUGGUAGUCCAUGCCGUAAACGAUGAGUGCUAAGUGUUGGGAGGUUUCCGCCUCUCAGUGCUGCAGCUAACGCAUUAAGCACUCCGCCUGGGGAGUACGACCGCAAGGUUGAAACUCAAAGGAAUUGACGGGGGCCCGCACAAGCGGUGGAGCAUGUGGUUUAAUUCGAAGCAACGCGAAGAACCUUACCAGGUCUUGACAUCUCCUGCAAGCCUAAGAGAUUAGGGGUUCCCUUCGGGGACAGGAAGACAGGUGGUGCAUGGUUGUCGUCAGCUCGUGUCGUGAGAUGUUGGGUUAAGUCCCGCAACGAGCGCAACCCUUGUUACUAGUUGCCAGCAUUAAGUUGGGCACUCUAGUGAGACUGCCGGUGACAAACCGGAGGAAGGUGGGGACGACGUCAAAUCAUCAUGCCCCUUAUGACCUGGGCUACACACGUGCUACAAUGGAUGGUACAAUGAGAAGCGAACUCGCGAGGGGAAGCUGAUCUCUGAAAACCAUUCUCAGUUCGGAUUGCAGGCUGCAACUCGCCUGCAUGAAGCUGGAAUCG
rnacentral:rRNA from 1 species